CCUCUUUUGAGGACAGUUCCUUGAGAUUGAAUAUGGGCAUAAUUAUCCUCUUUUGAUUGCAAUGUUGUAUUAGAGCCAUUCCAUUUUUAAAAUAUGGAAUAAAUAGAAUUCAGUACUUGGUUAAUGAAACGUUUUAUACUUCAUUACCUAAUCCCUAAUUUUUAUUCUUCUAUUUUCUCAAAUAAUAUAUAUAUAUAUAUAUAUAUAUAUAUAUAUUUUUUUUUUUUCUUUCAUUGUUGUUUGCAUUGUGGGUCCUUACAUAAAGAUUUGUAUAGCAAACUGCCUGCCUUGUAGAUUAGUUUUUACAUAUUUUCUGUAGAAAAGUGGUGAUAGAAAAUGUUGAUAUUACUUGCUAUUGGCUUAUAUUAUCUUUGAAUUUCCAGAAUUAGGAACUGAAGCCCAUGAGGCCCAAGUUUGUUUGAUAUAUGCAAAUGGAGUUCAUUCAUAUAGAGAGAAACUGAGAUUCCAGUGCCCUUCAAAACAUCAUUUGCGUCUAAGGUAACAAAGGAUGGUAAUACUGAUACAUGUGUCACUGUGCAACA